CAAAAGCCCGGCUAGUGACUCUGGAGGUACUGAACUUGAUAUAAUUGAUACACAAGGCACCCUUCAAGUAGAAAGAUAAAACAGAAGUCUUGCAGAGUUCUCAUUCGAGAUGGAAUUCAGGCAACCUUCAGGGUGAAAGAGUAGAAGACCACAGAAUGAUGUUUAGUUGGCAUUUGUACUUAAUGCAAUCAUAUAUUCAAGCAGUACUCUACAUAUAUAUAACUGAUUACAUGAUGUCUUUAACCCUUUACACUCCAAUAUCAGAAUGCAUAUUCUCCAAACUGUUCUCUAUAUAUUUCCUUAUGUGCUGGCAAGGAGAAUUUGUUUAACAAUCAAGAGGUUCUUCAGUUGAUUAUCAUUUCCUUUACUCUCAUGACCUUAAUGUGUGACUCAGAGGUGAUAUUGAAUGGAGAAGUUAGAUGCUAGUCAUUCUCAGGGAUUAAAGUGUUAUUAGCUUUACACAUUUUCAUGUAUAUGCUCCUUGCAUUUGUUGGCAACAAUAGCUAAGAUUGUUAGGAAAGCAAACAAACAAGUGAACAGAAGAUAGUGAAAUGAUGGAAACUGUAAACUUUACCAUGUGAUAGAAAACUAGCACAGAAUACUUACAGAGGGGAAACUUUUCCCCAAUUGCCAUUCAUGUUUUUGAUCAAAUG